UACGUAGGGUGCAAGCGUUGUCCGGAAUUAUUGGGCGUAAAGAGCUCGUAGGCGGUUUGUCGCGUCUGCUGUGAAAACUCAGGGCUUAACCCUGAGCCUGCAGUGGGUACGGGCAGACUAGAGUGUGGUAGGGGAGAUCGGAAUUCCUGGUGUAGCGGUGGAAUGCGCAGAUAUCAGGAGGAACACCGGUGCGAAGGCGGGUCUCUGGGCCGUAACUGACGCUGAGGAGCGAAAGCGUGGGGAGCGAACAGG
rnacentral:rRNA from 1 species